UCUAUUGCUGUGGUAAAAUCCACGAUGGAA
rnacentral:piRNA from 1 species